rfam:Nomascus leucogenys chromosome 15, whole genome shotgun sequence.
GUCUACGGCCAUACCACCCUGAACGCGCCGGGUCUCGUCUGAUGUUGGAAGCUAAGCAGGGUCGAGCCUGGUUAGUACUUGGAUGGGAGAUUUCCAUUUUGUGGUUCCGUGAAUUGUACUUU